CCUACGGGAGGCAGCAGUGAGGAAUAUUGGUCAAUGGGCGGAAGCCUGAACCAGCCAAGUCGCGUGAGGGAAGAAGGCCCUGCGGGUCGCAGACCUCUUUGGACGGGGAGCAAGGCCGCCGACGUGUCGGCGGAAGGAGAGUACCCGUAGAACAAGCAUCGGCCAACUCCGUGCCAGCAGCCGCGGUAAUACGGAGGAUCCGAGCGUUAUCCGGAUUUAUUGGGUUUAAAGGGAGCGUAGAUGGGUUGUUAAGUCAGUUGUGAAAGUUUGCGGCUCAACCGUAAAAUUGCAAUUGAUACUGGCGG
rnacentral:rRNA from 1 species